UCCUCUCUCAAACCUCCUGGUUUGGUGUUGGACCGUGUUCGGGGUUCGCCCCGCAACUGGUCUCAAAGACAAUGACGGCGUCCGUGGGACCCUCUUCGCAACGAGUCUUUCGAGGCACGCGGGGAGUUGCAAGGUCUCGUCGGGUCGGUCUAACCCUUUUAUUUUUACAA
rnacentral:misc_RNA from 1 species